UCUCAUGUUUUGUUUUUUUUUUACUUUCCCAUUAGCAGGAGGACUGUCUGACAUUUCAGACAGUCCCCCUGCUGGUAGAUCCACAGCCAGCUACAGGGGGUCAUGGGAUCGCUCUUUGAGAGUGAUCACAUGGCCCCCUGGGGACUCAUUUGCCGGGGGAGGGCUGCCUGACAGAAGAGGAUCGCGUCGGAGGUGAGUACCGCGGACCUCCAGGGGCUCAAAGCCGUUACGGCAUUCUAUGCCGCCGCAACGGCUUUAAAGCCCACUUAAUGCGGGACAGCAUAGAUCGCCGUAACGGUGUUAACGGGUUAAAUUGUUUCAUUUAUAAAUAUUUGAUGUGAAAUUUGAAAGCCCUUUUUGCUCCUGAACAAAAUGAUAUAGAAGUGUGGUGCACUUAAUAUGAAAGAGAGAAAUUAUGGUUGAACAGAAAUAUAGCUCAAAUUCUAGGGUUUAUUUACAUGUCGUUUUGAUCAGAAAAGGUAAAAUUGCCUUCUUCCUUAAGACCGGCUGGCGUACAAUUACGCCCUAUUUUAGGCGGCUCUAAACGCCGCCGGGCAUAAUUGUACGCCCUCCGGUCUUUCUUUACUUACCCGGUCACACAACAUUAUAUAACACACAACAUUGGAAAAUAAAAAAGAUUCUUAAUAAACACUGGAAAAUCCUACGUCAGGAUCCUAUUUUAGGUAAAGUGUUACCGGAAAAAACACCAGUUAUUUUUAGGAGAACAAAAAAUUUAAAAAAUGUAUUAGCACCUAGUUAUGCAUUAAAAAUUCCACGUAAAGGUACGACCUCCAAUAUUAGUGGUUUUAAUCCCUGCAACUCUUGCAAAGCCUGCAAAAAUCAAAAAUGUAUACAAAAGAAAGAAUUCAUGAGCUUCACUACAAAAGAAAGAUUCAAAAUAAAAUCCAACAUAAAUUGCAAUACGAGGAAUGUGGUAUACAUGCUUCAAUGCCCAUGUGGAAAACAAUACGUGGGGAGAACAUGUAGGAAGUUAAAAGAAAGAAUAUUAGAACAUCAAAAUAAUAUCAGAAAAAAAAUCAGUCAAACACAUAAUCACUACAUUGCAAUACUUGCAAUAAAUUUGAUUGGCGAAGCUUUACUUUUUUGGGCAUUGAGCAUGUGGACCCGUAUUGGAGAGGAGGGGAUUUAGCCAAGAGGCUCUCUCAAAGAGAAACCUUCUGGAUAAAUAAGCUACUCCAACCCUUCGGUUUAAAUUUUGAUUUUGAUUUGUGGAGCUUUUUUGAAGACUAAAUAAAUAACUUCAACUUUGUUUUUUCGUUUGUGGAGUGUUUGGGGAACAUCGCACUUUUCCCUCAUUCGGAAAUUAAG